rnacentral:rRNA from 1 species
CAGUCGCCACGGGAAUACGAAGGGGGCUAGCGUUGUUCGGAUUUACUGGGCGUAAAGCGCACGUAGGCGGAUUCUUAAGUCAGAGGUGAAAUCCCAAGGCUCAACCUUGGAACUGCCUUUGAUACUGGGGAUCUUGAGUCCGGGAGAGGUGAGUGGAACUGCGAGUGUAGAGGUGAAAUGCGUAGAUAUCGGAAGGAACACCUGUGGCGAAAGCGGCUCACUGAACCAUUUCUGACGCUGAUGCGCGAAAGCUAGGGGAGCAAACAGGAUUAGAUACCCCAGUAGUCCCUGUCUCUUAUAC